AUGAUAUUAAAUAACAUGGAUAGUAAUUUAGAAAAUAAUUCAUUAAUUUUAGAAAGUAUUGCAUCUAAAAAUUUGAUGUGGGUAGUGCAUGAUUUUAAUCAACGUUUGGAUGUACGAAAAGGGAAAUUGUGGUUAAAUAUUUUAUUAAAUUCGGAUAGAAGAGAUUUAGAUAUAAAAUAUUGGAAAAAAAUUAUAUCCAAUAAAAGUAAAGAUAAAUAUGAUGCUUAUACGACAAAACAAAAGAAAAUAGAAUAUUUAACAUAUUCAGGCAGUACAGGCCAUAAUGGUGACGCGAAAGAUAAAUUAAAAAACGAAACAUCCAGUAAUUAUAAGUUAGAUGUUCUUUAUAAAAAUAUAGAUUGUAUUUUGUUAAGAACAAUGUAUAAUAAUAAAAAUUUUGAUUUUACUAAUGCGAACUUGAGCGAUUUAAAUGAUGAAUAUAAAAAUGAUGUUACAUUAUUAAAGUAUAAAAUAUAUUUAAGAGCUUUGUUAUAUCCGAAAAAAAUGUAUACAAACGUUCAGAUGAAUUAUGCUAUGUAUAAGGAUAAAAAAGGAGGCGAUAGUAAUGAAUCUAGUUCUACUACAGAAGAAGAAAAAAAAAAAAAAGCGGACAGCAGUGGUCAGAAUAACGAUGACACAAAAUUGAAUGUCUCGAAUAUGCGUAAUAGAUAUAUGUCAGGACAAGAUGUGUAUGAUUUUAUCACUUUUUUAAUUAAAUCGGCUAAUCAAAAUUUAUUUACUAACAUUAAUCAAUUUUUUAAAAAUUUCAAAAUUAAUAGAGCAGAAAUAAGUAGAAACGAUUUAAUUUUUUUAUAUAAAAAAUAUUUAUUACAAUUUAUGGAAAAUGAAGAUGUAAAGUUUUUAAGCUAUAUGAAUGAAGAGAAUGAAUAUAUAAAUAGUGAUUUGGAAAACAAUUUAAAUAGUGAUAAUGUGAAUGAAAAAAGUAGUAUGAGCAAUCGAUUUGAAGAAGAAUUAUUUAAUGAAGAUUUUUUAGACGAAAGCGAAAUGUUUAAAAAUGAAAAGGAUAAAAAAGAUUUAUAUAAAUUACCACCAUUACUUAAUGAAAUAAAAAAAUAUGAAGAAAUAAUUAGAGAACAGAUUUUAAAUAUUUGGUAUAAAUAUACAGAAAGUGAUUUUCAUGAUGAGGAAGAAAAAGAAUUGAUAAAAGAUAUUGAAUCUAAUUUAUAUGACAGAUUAGAUCAAAUAAAACAAGAUAUGUUAGAACUAGGUGAAUCUAAUAUUCUUAAAUUUUGUAAAAUUGCAUGUGAUGAUUCUUUACAAAUAAUAAUAGAAGAUGUCAAAAUGAAAAGUGACCAAUACCCAAUUAAACAAAAAGAUUUAACCUUCUUUUUUGAAUCGGUUAGUUAUAAUUUAGUAAAAUAUUUAGAAAAAAAACUUUCCAAAAAUCCGGAAAAGUUAGACUUAAUAUAUUAUAAAGAUGAAAUAUGUACUCCUUUAAUUAAUAAUACAUUUCAAGAAUUUUAUUAUUUAAAAAAAAAGAAUAUUACUUUAAAUGAACAGAAAAUAAAAGCAUAUUUUACCAAUGCUGUAUUAAAAGGUAGGGAAGUUUUUGAAAGUUUAGCAGAUAGUACCGAAAAUAUAACUGAAUAUUUUAAAAAUAAAAAUGUAUUUUAUACCAUAUUAGAUAAAUGGAAUGCAGAAGCAGUAAAUGCAUAUAUGUUAGCAUUAGGUGAAUUUUAUAAAGAAGAAAAAGAAAUCAACGAUACAUUUUUAAUUGUUUUAGAUAAUGAUAUAAAAAAUUCUAAACAAGCAGCUAUGAAAAAAUGGCAUAAUCAUUGUAAAGAUAAAACUAGUAAUUUAUACAAUAUGCAUAAAGGUAAUUUAAGAAAAUUAUUUAUGGAAAAUUUUAAUUUCCCAUUAGAUGAAUUAGUAUUACAAGAUAUAUUUUUAAGUUUAAAAAAUCAAGAAGAAUUAAAAUACAUGGAAAUAUAUUGUGCCAAUGAAGAAUCAUGGAACAGUGAAUAUAAAAAAUUUUUAGAAUUAACAGAUGAAAUAUAUAAAGUAAUAAAAGAUGAAAAUUUAAAAGCAAUUCAAAUAACUUGUCAACAACCGUUAGAUGAUUUAAAAAAUGGAAUAAAAAAUGAAAUUCAUAAAUAUUAUUUUUGGAGAUCAUUUAAAAUUACAUUAUAUGAAAGAGCAUUAGUUGUUCUUGCUAAUAAUAUUGAACAUAUAUAUUUAAAAAAUCAAAAAGAAAAUAAAAUAAAACCAUCAGUAGAAGAAACUGUAAAUCAAAGAAAUACCCAAUAUAAAAAAAUAUCAAAAGAAUUAAUGAGUAAAGUUAUAAAUAGAUGGUUAAAUACUGAUAUAUAUGAAUUAUAUUAUCCUAUUAUAAGAAAACAGUUUAUUCAAAGAAUUAUUUUUCUUAUGGGUGUAUUCAUAUUAAUAUUUGUACUGUUAUUAAUUUUAUACUUUAAAAAAUUCCAUAUCAGUUUUCUAUUCCUUUUAAUUAUUUCCAUGUUUAUGAUAUUUGGAUAUGCACAAAUAUUAUUAUACUUAAAGAAAUUUUUUAGACAUGUUGUUUUCUACAUGUAUGAUGGAAUAGCAAAUGUAUUCGGUACAGAAGGAGCAAUUAUAUUUACAAUUUUAUUAAUUUCAGUAACAGCUAUAUAUGUAUAUAAUUAUCAUAUUGUAAGGUUUAAAAAUAAAGUAGCAAAAAAUACGAAAAAAUUAUUACAAUCACAAAAUUUGUUAAAUUUAUCAGGGACUACCGGAUUAAAAGAUUCAUAUGCUAAUCCUAGAGUCAGAAUAUAUAAACCAACUUUUAUGAAAUUCCCAUAUUAUGAACAAAAACCAAAUAUGUUUUCAACUAACGUUCCACCAGAAUAUAAAAUGGCAAAUGAUGCAUCUCAGUAUAUGGAUAUGAGUAAUAAAUUCAACAAGUCAAGUAAAAUGGAUGAUUAUGCAUCAUACAACGCCUCCAGUAAAUUCCAGAGAAGAUCUUAUUUGUCAUAG
rnacentral:lncRNA from 1 species